AGGGGCGCAGGCGCGCGGGCUGCGGGCGCGGCGGGGCGGGGCGGGGGCGCGCGAGCCGGCCGCGCGCACGGACGGACAGACCGACAGCCGCGCGGCCCCUCCCUGCCGCCGCCCGCCCGGGCCCACCCGCCGGCGCCGGGCCGGAGCGAUGACAUCCACGCGCAAGGACGGCGGCGGGGCGCAGCACGCGCAGUAUGUGGGGCCUUACCGGCUGGAGAAGACGCUGGGCAAGGGGCAGACAGGCCUGGUGAAGCUGGGGAUCCACUGCGUCACGUGUCAGAAGGUGGCCAUCAAGAUCGUCAACAGGGAGAAGCUCAGCGAGUCUGUGCUCAUGAAGGUGGAGCGGGAGAUCGCCAUCCUCAAGCUCAUCGAACACCCCCAUGUCCUGAAGCUGCAUGACGUCUACGAAAACAAAAAAUAUUUGUACCUGGUGCUAGAACACGUGUCAGGGGGGGAGCUGUUUGACUACCUGGUGAAGAAGGGGAGGCUGACCCCCAAAGAGGCCCGCAAGUUUUUCCGACAGAUCAUCUCUGCGCUGGACUUCUGCCACAGCCACUCCAUAUGCCACCGGGACCUGAAGCCCGAGAACCUGCUCCUGGACGAGAAGAACAACAUCCGGGUGGCGGACUUCGGCAUGGCCUCCCUGCAGGUGGGGGACAGCCUCCUGGAGACCAGCUGUGGCUCCCCCCACUACGCCUGUCCCGAGGUCAUCCGGGGGGAGAAGUACGACGGCCGCAAGGCGGACGUGUGGAGCUGCGGGGUCAUCCUGUUCGCCUUGCUGGUGGGGGCGCUGCCCUUCGACGAUGACAACCUGCGGCAGCUGCUGGAGAAGGUGAAGCGGGGCGUGUUCCACAUGCCGCACUUCAUCCCGCCCGACUGCCAGAGCCUGCUGCGUGGCAUGAUCGAAGUGGACGCCACCAGGCGCCUCACGCUAGAGCACAUUCAGAAACACACUUGGUACAUCGGGGGCAAGAACGAGCCCGAGCCCGAGCAGCCCGUCCCACGCAAGGUGCAGUUGCGCUCGCUGCCCAGCCUGGAGGACCUGGACCCCGACGUCCUGGACAGCAUGCACUCCCUUGGCUGUUUCCGAGACCGUAACAAGCUGUUACAGGACCUGCUGUCAGAGGAGGAGAACCAAGAGAAGAUGAUCUACUUCCUGCUGCUGGACCGGAAGGAGCGGUACCCCAGCCACGAGGACGAGGACCUGCCUCCCCGGAAUGAGAUAGACCCUCCCCGGAAGCGAGUGGACUCCCCCAUGCUGAACCGGCACGGGAAGAGGCGGCCGGAGCGCAAGUCCAUGGAGGUGCUGAGCGUGACGGACGGCGGCUCCCCGGUACCCGCGCGGCGCGCCAUCGAGAUGGCCCAGCAUGGCCAGAGUAAAGCGUUGUUCAGUAAAAGCCUGGAUAUCGCUGAAGCCCACCCCCAAUUCAGCAAAGACGACAGGUCUAGGUCCAUCAGUGGCGCCUCCUCCGGCCUGUCCACCAGCCCGCUCAGCAGCCCCCGGGUGACCCCCCACCCCUCUCCAAGGGGCAGUCCCCUCCCCACCCCCAAGGGGACACCCGUGCACACGCCAAAGGACAGCCCCGCCGGCACACCCAACCCCACGCCGCCGUCCAGCCCCAGCGUGGGGGGUGUGCCCUGGAGGACGCGGCUCAACUCCAUCAAGAACAGCUUCCUGGGGUCGCCCCGCUUCCACCGCCGGAAACUGCAAGUUCCCACGCCUGAGGAAAUGUCCAACCUGACCCCAGAGUCAUCUCCAGAGCUGGCCAAGAAGUCAUGGUUUGGGAACUUCAUCAACCUGGAGAAGGAGGAGCAGAUCUUCCUGGUGAUGAGGGACAAGCCUCUGAGCUCCAUCAAGGCUGACAUCGUGCAUGCCUUCCUGUCGAUCCCCAGCCUGGGCCACAGCGUCAUCUCGCAGACGAGCUUCCGCGCAGAGUACAAGGCACCGGGCGGCCCGGCCGUGUUCCAGAAGCCGGUCAAGUUCCAGGUGGACAUCACCUACACGGAGGGCACACAGGCGCAGAAGGAGAACGGCAUCUACUCCGUCACCUUCACGCUGUUGUCGGGCCCCAGCCGCCGCUUCAAGAGGGUGGUGGAGACCAUCCAGGCGCAGCUGCUCAGCUCCCACGACCCGCCGGCCGCCCCGCACCUGUCAGAACCCCCCCCGCCAGCGCCAGGACUAAGCUGGGGUGCUGGGCUUAAGGGCCAGAAGGUGGCCACCAGCUACGAGAGUAGCCUGUGACUCGGGCAGACACCACUAACUGUAUGGAGAUGAUGACGGGGAGGCUUUCCAAAUGUGGAACUGCCCCGAAAAGUUAACACGGCCCCUCCACGAGGCGCCUCUGGGCUCUGCGGACCCGGCGCUGGACGGCAGCUGUGUGGACGCCCCCCGCCCGCAUGCCCGGGGACCCCUCCAGGAAGCCAGCCCCGUCCGGGGAUGCGGCGAAGCAGCUGUGGACCGGCGCUGCCCGCCCCUCCCCGCGGCCCGCCCGCCCGCCCCACACCGCCGGGCACCGCGGACUCUGCGGGCGCCCACAUCAGUGUUAUUUAUUUGCCGUUUAACUUAUUGAGUUUCUUCACUUCUCUGUUCAGGGAAGGGCAGCAGCGGGCUCCGCUGCCAUCCAUCCAUCCGUCCGUCCGUCCGUGCGUCCUCGGCGGGGGGCUCUGGGGCACGGUGGCAGGUGGGGGCGGCAAGGCGACGAGCUACUGUAAACUUAAAAGAAUUCCUGCAAGAUA